rnacentral:misc_RNA from 1 species
GAUGAAGAACGUAGCGAAAUGCGAUAAGUAAUGUGAAUUGCAGAAUUCAGCGAAUCAUCGAAUCUUUGAACGCACAUUGCGCCCCUUGGUAUUCCGAGGGGCAUGCCUAUUCGAGCGUCAUUAUCACCCCUCAAGCCUAGCUUGGUGUUGAGACCUGCUGUCAAGGCAGUCUCUAAAAUCAGUGGCAGUGCUGUCAGGCUCUAAGCGUAGUAAAUCUAAUCGCUAUAGACACCUGGUGGACACUCGCCAGAACCCCCCCAUUUUUUAAUGAUUGACCUCGGAUUAGGUAGGGAUACCCGCUGAACUUAAGCAUAUCAAUAAGCGGAGGA